rnacentral:rRNA from 1 species
ACAUGCCUACAUCAUAGAGAUAAUUCACCGAAUCCCAUUAGAACUAUGUGGUUAAGUGUACUCAGGAUAGAGUAUUACUAGGAUGGGUGACCACCUAGGAUGUCCUAGCGUUUUACAUGCC